UAUUUGUAUAGUGUGUGUGUAUAUAAUGCAGUGUGUUUGUGUAGUGUGCAUUAUAUAAACACACUGCAUUAUAUACACACACACACUACACAAAC